CUCGAAUCAAAAUCUUAUAACAAAGCCACAGUAAUAUAAGAUUGGGACAUACCACUGACAUCAUAACCAGAUAUUAAAGAGGUCUUAAGGACAUCUAGGGAACAUCGGCCCGAAAGCAGAACUUUUAUAAUUUAAUGGGACUUGAGGUGCUCUUGAACAACAUGGAGGCCUUCUGAUUCUUCACCGAAAUCCUGAAAAACGAAAUGCAACAAGGCAAGUGAACAAACAGCAUGGGAGGAAUAAUUAAAUUUGGCAAGUGCUAAGAGCAAGUCCGGUAAAUAAGUACAAAGAUUCCCUAAGAGUGUGUACUAGUACAGUUAUGUAGUUUAAGAAAGUCCCAGAAAUGUAGUUAUAAAUUUAUUUUUGGGACAGCUUCAAUAUAUAACACCGGAAAUGCAGUAAAUCUCAUGCACUCAACCGACUGUUCUCAAUACCUUCACAACAACACAGGAGCAACCGACAACCUUUCUUGCCUUUCCUUCUGAAUCAAUCUUGCAAAGCUGUGAGCAGACAGUAUAGAAUUAACAACGGGUUCAGAAAGAUCCAUAAACAUGGGCAACAAGACAAAAAUUAAUAUGCUGAACGGAAAAUGGAAACAAUGAAAUAGGGCUUGAACAUUAGAAACCAUUUAAAGACCUUCCCAUGAUUGAAUAUUAUAAAACAUUGAAUACUAGAAAAAUCCAGUUGCCCCGCCCACAAUGGAAGUCAUCAGAUCAUAAGCAAAUUGACAGAGACAUUUUAGUUAAUUGGGAUGUACAACCACUCCAAAGUAUUGCUACAAAGUGAGGAUAAUUGUGGAACAAUUGAAAAAUAUUGGGAAAAGCAACAAACUGGGGCGAAAGAUAGGUGAAAAUAUCGGAGCAAACUAAAAUGACAAACAAAUGAUAAUAAAUACUUUGAUGAAAAAACAAAAACUAACGAAAUUUCUAUAUUUCAAUUGAUUUUUACUUACACCGGCCCAUUCUCCAAGAGUUUUAGCACUAGGAAUUGACAUCAGUUUAACAUUAUGGUCUGCACAUAGUGCCUUGACCAGCUUAACAUAAUCAGCCUGGUCACAGUCCUCAGCUACAACGCAGAGCUGUGCAGCAUGCUUCUCAAUGACCUUUGCACCCUCGUGGAGU
rnacentral:lncRNA from 1 species